UACAGAGGGGGCAAGCGUUGUUCGGAAUUACUGGGCGUAAAGCGUACGUAGGCGGCUUUGUAAGUUAGAGGUGAAAGCCCGGGGCUCAACUCCGGAAUUGCCUUUAAGACUGCAUCGCUUGAAUCAUGGAGAGGUGAGUGGAAUUCCGAGUGUAGAGGUGAAAUUCGUAGAUAUUCGCAAGAACACCAGUGGCGAAGGCGGCUGACUGGUCCGGUUCUGACACUGAGGUGCGAAAGCGUGGGGAGCAAACAGG
rnacentral:rRNA from 1 species